AGAGCAGGAGAGAGGAACUGGGGUUUGGUUUGGGGAAGUACAAACCAAACUAGCCACUAGCUAAUCCACAGUGAGAGUAGAGCGGUCAGGAGAGAAAGGAGAGCUGGGAGGCUGAAAAGUAGCGAGGCAGGCUGAUGGACAGCAACAGAUACAGAGUACAGAGCAAUGCUGCUCUGUAACGUGAUAAGGCAACAAGAGGCCAAGGCUCUUCCGGGCAGCACUCACAAGAGCUGUUGAAGUGCAGCGAGGCCCUGCUCUCUUCUUCCUGUUUACAGAGAUUUGGGAGACGGGGCACUACUUCCAUAAGACUGUCUGGAUCCUUCCCUGCAGAAGUAACUGCUCUCUGAACUGUCCUGGUAACAGUUUUACACCUUUAUCAUGGGUUGGACAGCCUUCACAGAGCAGGCACAUUGCCAGCAUGCCAAGCCACGAGGCAGAGGUGCUGGGAGUUCUACACCACUGCCUCCAGCUCCUCUCAGAUUAUCUGCAGCCAUCUCCUACCCUGGAGGGAAGAAAAGAGAAGGGAAAAUCAUCAGGGGCUAGGCUGGCCAGUGUCUGGCUGAGUGCCCCAGAGCUGGCUUGGAUUGUGGAAGCUGAAGCUGGCACUGGAAAGUUCCCUCCCUGGCUAAUGUGUCAGGCUACGGUAUUCUGGAGAAAGCCUCAGUCCCCAAGAGUAAACAUUUUGUCUGACUUCUGCUUUAAAGAGAAUGUGUCGAGUGCUUCAUCAAAUUAAAUAUAAUUCUAUUUCUAGAUUUACUUUAAAUUAAUGAUUAUUUUAAAUUUUUCUAGGCAUUAAUAAGUUACCUUUCCAAACCAGUCAUUUGAAUUUACACUCUUAUCAAGAAAGUGUGAGAAUACUUAUUUUCUUACAUCUUCAUCAACCUGGUAUUAUCAGUAUUUUAUAUCUUUGCCACUCCAAUGGACAAAUAGUGAUUAUCUUUAUUUGUUUUCCGUUAGAGCAGUUGAGUAUCUUUUUUUCUAUAUAUUUAUUGGAUAAGUUUUUUCUUCCUUUCC